UACGUAGGCAGCAAGCGUUGUUCGGAAUUACUGGGCGUAAAGAGUGUGUAGGCGGUUCUCUAAGUCUGGGGUGAAAUCUCCCGGCUCAACUGGGAGGGUGCGCCGGAAACUGGAGGGCUCGAGUGUGGGAGAGGAAAGCGGAAUUCCUGGUGUAGCGGUGAAAUGCGUAGAUAUCAGGAGGAACACCUGUGGUGUAGACAGCUUUCUGGACCACGACUGACGCUGAGACACGAAAGCGUGGGUAGCAAACAGG
rnacentral:rRNA from 1 species